UAAACGCAACCAGCAAAACGUAAACAAUAAACAGCCAGCCAGAAGCUGGAAGCAAAGUUACACUUAUUCUAGCAAGUUUUUACUAACAAAAACUUCCCUAACCCGCAAAUGUUGUACAGUGUUCGAAAUCCUACCAUUAUUCUAAACCUUUAACAAAUGAAGUGCGUCGUUCCAGGUUGCGACACAGACGAUAACGUCGUCAGCUAUACGUCGGUGUUUUACGUAAACUUGCCGGACGAUCCGAUCGUGCAGCAGCAAUGGUUUUCGCUGCUGCAAGUAACGGAUGCCGACCUUAUGCAGGCUCUGUCCGAUGGAGAGAUCAAAGUAUGCAGCUGCCACUUUGCCGAGGAAAGCUUCGGGCGUCAUCCGGUGCACGGGUAUCGCUAUUUACCGUCUACCGCGCUACCAUCCGUACUUCCACCGAGGAUCGUUCCCGACACACCAAACGCCACGAAAGAACCUGAUCCCGGUUCAAAGGACAAUCCGGUAGAUUAUUUUUUCGUCUAUCUGGACGAAGCAACCGGUAUCCAUCCCGUGGAUAAGGUGCCGGAAGCGAACGAGCUCGCUUUGAUAGACGAUCUCAAUGCUGGGGAACCUGAGACCGAACUUGCAUCUUUGACGAAACAGGCAAAGGAAGAGAAAGAUGUCGAAACGGUCGAUGGGAACGAUGACGAUGAACUGGUGGAGGAAAUCGGUAUCGAGUACGCGAAUGGAAAAUAUUACUUUCUCAAGCUAGAUGACGAUCAUUCGGCAUCGGACAACGAGGCACGUGCGUCGGAUGUGGAUACGAAUGAACAUGACGAUCAAGACGACGGGUCUGCUGUGAUAUUGAAGCGAGAGAAAGAAACCACCACCACAACCAAAGUGAUCGGCCUGGUGGACAGCACACCAAGCAACGCUGUCAUUGCCACAACGGCCCACGAAUCCGAUGGAAUCGUGGAAGAGUUUGAAGAUAGUAGAACAAAUAUUAGUGACAGUGAAAGUGUGAACGCUGACACGAAUCAAACGCACUUGAAAGCACACUCAAGCACCGAACUUUUGGGCGAUGAAACGGAGCUAAAGAUCGCUCCGAAUGAUAUAUUUAUAAUCGAAGCACUGGACACAAAGCCUAACGGACGCCAUGGCGAGUCGGACACGGAGCAGUACGACGGUGUAGAUUCGACGGCGAAAGGUGAUACAUUAAGUGAGGCCGAGUAUGGCUCGAUUGAGGCACUGGAGGACACGUCGAUUUGUAGCGAUGAAGACUGGAAUCAGAACCAGGACAAGAAUAAGGAUAAGCGGGAAGAUCGAUUCUUCUGCGAGCACUGCGACAGAGGAUUUCGGUUCAAAAGCAUGAAGGCGCGGCACGUCCUUACGCACACCAAGGAGAGGAAAUAUCGUUGCGAUGUGUGCGGAAAAGGCUUUUCACAAAAGAUAAAUCUCAACAUUCACAUGCGCGUUCACACCGGGGAGAGUGCGGUGAAGAAGUUUACCUGCCAGAUAUGCGAGAAAAAGUGCACCCGGCUGAGCGAGCUGGAAAGCCACAUGCUGAAGCACUUUCGCCAGUUCCCGCACGUGUGCCCGCUCUGCACGCAACGGUACUCGGACGCGACCAGCUUCUACGAACACUUCCAGGCGCAGCACCGCCAGGAGAUGUCACCCCGCGAGCUGUUCGAUCUGCUGUGCCAGAACGAAAAUACCAUGGUCAUUAUGGGGCUGGAUCCGGCCAACAUCGAACCGGAGCCCGGCAGUGCGUUCAGCUGCAGUGUGUGUGGCAAAUCGUUCCGGCUCAAGGUCAAUCUCGAGCGGCACAAGCGCCGAGCGCAUGUGAAAAUUUUUGCCUGCCCGCACUGUACACGCAAAUUCCCGUACAAAAGUUUGCUGGCCAAACAUUUGCCCAUGCACACGCUCGAGAAACCGUACCGCUGUCCCCACUGCGCGCUUUCCUACACGCAGCGCGUCAACCUACGGGUGCACAUCGAACGGAAGCACACGGAGCUGCAGCACUAUGCGAGCGAAAACUAUUUCGACACCGACGAGGAGGAACAGGGGAACGAACCGACGCGGCAGGUGUUCGACCGGGCCCAGACAUACGAUUGUGAGGAGUGUGGUAAAAGGUUUCCACGCAAACCCUCGCUGUUGCUGCACCUUGCCGCACACGAACAGUGUGCCGAGCCGGUAACGUACGACUGUGCGGACUGUGGCAUUUCGUUGUGUGCGCGCAUCUCGCUGCUGAAACAUCGGGCCCGGGUGCACGGUGAGGAUCGGACGAAGGGGAAGGUGCUCGGGAAUUUGGAGCUUCGGAACGUUACGAUCGUACCGACGGAUGAUAAUCGUUACGUGGAGAUCGAAGACGAAACGGAUACGAUCAUGGAAGACUACGGUAAUGAGUACGAACCAAACGUGUAGCGUAAAAGGGUGGCGCUGCAGAUAUAAUCUCACCUGACAGCUGAGAACUACCAGAAGCACAAUGUGGGGUGAGCAGAGCGAAAAGUCCGCCCCAUUCGUGUGGAAGAAGAAGCUCGAAAAGCAGGGCCUGAAGGACAUCUCCCGCCGCGAGCUAGAGGCGCUGAAUCGCAAAACACAGCUAGAGAAUGUUAUCGAGCUGGAAAAGAUUAAAAAGCGACGCCUGGAGCGGGAACAUCAGCAGCAGCAGCGGGAAGACGAUAUGUAUCUGAUGCAACGUUCGAAGGAAGCGGCACAGUUUGACGAAUGGCAACGGCAGGAGGAAACAUUCCAUCUGGAGCAGGCAAAGCUACGGAGCAAGAUCCGCAUACAGGACGGACGUGCCAAACCGAUCGAUCUGCUCGCACAGUACAUCUCCGAGCAGAACCUGGAGGAAUCGAUCGAGAUGCAAAUGCA